AUCCAGAUGACGAGUCCGAAAUAGGAUGAAACGCGUGUCCUGGAU
rnacentral:hammerhead_ribozyme from 1 species